GGGGCGGCGCGCGCCUGUCGCGACUGUCGCCGAUGUCGCCCGCCCGUGCCCGGGGCUCCCCGCGGUUUCCUCGCCGCCCGGCAGGGAAACCACGAUGGGCUGCGGAUGGUGUUCGAGGUACCCCUGCUGAAAGCGUGGCGUGGCUCACCCAAAGAGGUCCUCCUGCAAGGAAUGGUGCUAAGGUUUUAUAUUCAGAUUGGUACCAGCAGCAACAACCUUGAAGAGUUGCACAGAAAAUCAAACAUGGAUACAUGGUUAGACUACAAUAUCACUUAAAAUAGGUAAGUUUACAUCUUAGACUGAAAUUUAAAUGUAUUUAUAUGUAUGAGUAUACAUCUUUGUGCAUGACCAGCACCUUUUGGACCUCAAGUACAUGAAGACUGGCCUGUUUUCCAGAGUUAUUUGCUCCAGUGUAUAAUUUUUCAUGGAAUAUUUCAUAGUUCGGUGGACAAUGGGAGUCAAGUUUUGGAGUGAGAAUGCAUAUGCAAUGCCAUCUGCUUUACCAUUAAUUUACUCCUGCAUUUGCUCAGAAUUUUGUUGAGCUGGUUUUCUGAGUAUUCCCACUGUUGACUAUGUUCAACACAGUAGAUGUAGAAAGCAAAUAAAAAGGGAAUGGGAAUGCUCUCAUGGAAACUGUCAGGCAGUGUCUGCUCAGCUCUUCUCAGCACUCAGGAUCUGAAAACUGCUGCUAAAUUUCUAGUGGAUUUCAUAUUGAUCAUUGCUACCAAAUAAAUCUGGAGUACAGCAUCCCAAAAAUACAUAAAUUUAAAUACUAGAUUUAGAGCCUGUGUUUUCUCUUUCCAAGUAACACAACUUGCAUGGAUGUAGGAAAAAAUGCAUUGUCUGUUUGGUAAAGGAGAAUAUAUGGAGAAAGACCACAGCCUGGCCAUGCCUGACGUGGCCCAGUGCUCUGGCUCCAAAGAGCUUUGAUAAUGACUUUAAAAAAGAGAGAUAUGUGCUUUGGUGAAGCUUUUUCAUCCCAAGCCAGCCAGCAGUAACCUUGUCCUAGAAAAUGUGAGGAUGUGCCUCUGUUGUAAAGAUCCACUCUUCCUUUUUGAUGCAUUUUUAAGUGAGGGAAGUGCUACUCAAAUGCCCUUGAAAAUCUUUUAAAGCAGCUCUUGGAACAUUUUUUUUUCCUUAUUCUUUCUUUCAUUUUGUAUCCAUCCAUAUGAUUCCAUCUGUUGGUCCAAAAGGCUCAAUAUGACAGUGACAACAGACCAAGUUUCUUUCAAAAUUUCUCCUUUAAUUUAAGCCAUUUUUUUCCUAGGAAAGUAUCAAACCAAAGAAAUCCAUAUUCCAAGCCCAUUUGAAAGGGUAAUAGAACUAAUAGGGAAAUGGUUUGUAUUUACUUUGAAAACAACCCCCUGAGUAUCACAUGCUGUCAAAGCCAAGUGAAACAUUGCAAGUGUCAAGUUUAUGUCUGUACCCAGCCGUGAUGCCUGAGCAGGUUUCAAGGUCUCAGCCUGCCAAAGACUGACACACACACUUAACUUUCUGCACUGGAAUCUUUCCCUGACUUUAAUGCAGGAUCAAGGCACACACGUCAGCUGUCUCUCGUGCAUCAGCCAGGUCUGCUUCUGUUGUAGUGAUUUUUAUUAAUUGGCUACUUGGGAAGCACAGUAAAACUCUAUCCAUAAAGAAUCUAGGAAAAAAUGAGAGAUGGGGGAACAAAGUAAUAGAAAGGACAGAUUCCAUCUUGAGGUGGAGACUGAAUCCAUUUGCCUUAGUCAGUGACAGGACAGUUCCACCAACACUUUCUCUGGACAAUGCUGACUUGCUUCUCACCAUGUGCCAGCAAAUUCCUGCUACACAUCACUUCUCUUCCUUUACCUGUCUCCUGUCUCCUGAUAGCCACGUUAUGUCUCAUAAAAACACACACAAACAAACCCAAAACACAUCAGCAAGCAAAAGCUCUUUCCGUGCAAUAGGUUUAUCCCAGGAUGUAUCGGUGUCGGCUCCAGAGCAGAAAUUUACAGCCAGUUAGAGGUGCUACCAGCAUGCCAGGACUAAAAAGGGACCAAAUGAGCCACGGUGUGAGGGAGAAGAUGUCAGCCCAGACACAGCACACCAUAUUCCUGGGAUAAAGAAACAAUGAGAAAGCAGCAGUGGGUAACAGAUGAGGUAUUAGGCCUAGCGGGGAGAAGACAAGAGCUUAAAUCAAAAAGACAUCCUGAUGAGACUGGAUGUAAGCUGAGCACACAGGCCUUCAACGAGGGAUAUGAGAGGUGGUUAGACAAAACACUGCAGGAAUUCAUCCACAGUGAGCAGCGCAGGAGUUGGAGCAACAGGAUGGAAGAGGUGGAUGCAAAGGGACUUUUCAGCGCUGUCAAGGAAAUUGGCCAAACUCCCUCCCAGAGGCAGUGUCAUCAGGGCAGCAUAUGGCAAAAGGGAAAGGAAAAAAACAACUAAAAAAGGUAUGUAAUGGAAAAAAGAGACAGGAAUAUUUUAAGAAUCUCAGCUUUUGCUAAGUUGCAGAAAGAGUCUGUGGACAACCUGGGAUUUCAAGCCUAAUCUUUGGAGUUGGUGCAGGCCAUUAGCUCAUCUCCCACUCUUGUGUAUUUGCAAUUUCUUCCAAUGGUGUAAUGUGGAAAGAUUUUUAUAUUUAAAAUAUUUAAUAUAUUUAUCCUAUUAACAUGAUGCAAAAUAGUCAAUAAUUUACAUAUAUUUACAUCUAAUGUUCAUUUAU